GCUAGUAAUUCUUCUUUGCAAAAUCAUUAAUUAUCCUAGCUCUAAUUACUAUAAUUAAUGGCUUUGCAAAGAUAGAUUUACUAGCUAAAUCUU
rnacentral:pre_miRNA from 1 species